rnacentral:lncRNA from 1 species
ACACCGACUCCAGGAUUGUCUCCCAAAUCCCACUUCCGCCACUUCUUCCUCCCGAGACCGGCCAAGAGCCCCUGGUUGUCCGCCCUUCUUGGGCUCCUAGGGAGAACGUGGUCCGGGAACUGGCGGUCACUGGGAGGCAGCACAAGAGGUUUUCGCGCUCCUCUGCUGGUGCAACUAUCGCGACCAUCACCCUGACAGCGGGAGGAAGGGUGCCGCAGGCAAAGGGUGGCGCACCUGCAGAUUCGGUUUCUUGCUCGGGGCUCUCGCGAGAGCCGGCGCUGGAGUGUGGACCGCGCAUGCCGGUGACGCGUGGUGGAGACACGUCGCCGGCGCCUCUCUCCCUAGGCCUUCCAGGGGGCUGGAGUGCAGCGGCGCUAUCUCGUCUCACUGCAACCUCCACCUCCCAGGUACAAGCGAUUCUCCUGCCUCAGCCUUCGGAGUAGCUGGGAUUACAGGCACCCACCACCACGCCCAGCCCAGAGCCGGCCUGGUUCAAGCAUUUCUCAGAAAUUUCCAGCGCACGUUCCCCAUCUGAAGGCUCACACCUGCGGGAGCAGAACACACUCCACACGGGUGCCUCCAGCACACGGAACUUGCGCUCCCGGAAGCUUACGACAUGGUCAUUGUUGAAGUGUUCCCCUCGAAGUAGCUGGGCGUGGUGGCGCGCUCGUGGAGUCCCAGCUACUCGAGAGGCUGAGGUAGGAGCAUCGCUUGAACCCAGGAGGAGGGAGUUGCAGUGAGACGAGAUCGCGCCACUGCACUCCAGCCUGGUAACAAAGCGAGACUCCGUCUCAAAAAAAAAAAAAAAAAAAAUCCUUAAGGACAGCCCAGAGGCUGGCGACACCUUCACGGGCCCCUCCAUGGAUGCGCCUCUGAGGUCACCGCUCCGGAAGGUCCCAGACUGGCGUGGAAACCUAUUACUAAGUGGGGCGCGUGGACACCGGCAGGUCCCGCUCUAAAGGAGUCCCGCGGAUGCUUGGGCCUCAGUUCCUCUUUCCUGCCCAAGUAUUCCCCCCGCUCUGACGAAACAGGCAACUUCCAGACUGUGGCGUUAGCUCAGCGACUGCGCUGAGCCCCGGGAAAGAACCUGGUCCCGACGGCCAGCUGACCCAGGUUAGUUGCAGAGAUGCUGACUACCCCGCUUCGCUGGCUGCUGCGAGGUCACAUGAGGCCCUCGGUGUGACGUGAGGUCCUCGGGCGCAGCAGGGAGCGUGGCAGCCAACUCUUUCUGCGCGUGCGCGAGCGCGAGCAUCUGCUGUUGUUUAGGCAGAACGGUCGCAAAUCGCACCCUCAGUACUGGCCCGCUUUGCUCUUCUACCUUGCCCUCCUAGUCCGGAUCCAAGAUCCCAAGUAAUCUUCCUACCCCUGCACCGGGGCCGGGACCAGGCAGCCAAGAGCGGCGGAGACAGACUGCUGGGACCGCGACAUCUCCUCUCCUGUUCGCUGCCAUAUGCCCGCGUCGUGUUGAGCGGCCUGCGGACACUGACAGCCUGCCCGGUCCGCUGAGUGUUUGAUCCCCAUCCUCGCAACGCUCUGGAGUGGGCGGUGCAGCCAGUCUUCUUUCAUUCUUAUGAGGCAAGAGAGAGACCCUCUCAUAUUGUUUUAUACUCUGUACCUGUUUAAAAAACAAAACGAAACAAAACAAAACAAGGAAGUGAAACCAAAGACAGGCAGCCCGGCGCCAGGCCCCAAACCGGACCUGGACCUGCCUGGCCUAAACCUAGUAGUUAAAAAUCAACUCAUGACUUAAAAACCGAUGUUGUCCUUAGAUUCCCCGCGUCGUAUAGAAGAACAUUGUGGGCCAGGGGCGGUGGCUCACGCCUGUAAUCCCAGCACUUUGGGAGGCCAAGGCGAGCGGAUCACCUGAGGUCAGGAGUUCAAAACCAGCCUGACCAACAUGGAGAAACCCUGUCUUUACUAAAAAUACAAAAUUGGCCAGGCGUGGUGGCACAUGCCUAUAAUCCCAGCUACUAGGGAGGCUGAGGCAAGAGAAUCGCUUGAACCUGGGAGGCAGAGGUUUCGGUGAGCCGAGAUCAUGCCAUUGCACUUCACCCUGGGCAAGAAGAGUGAAACUCCAUCUCAAAAAAAAAAAAAAAAAAAAAA